AUUGAACGCUGGCGGCAUGCCUUACACAUGCAAGUCGAACGGCAGCACGGGAGCAAUCCUGGUGGCGAGUGGCGAACGGGUGAGUAAUAUAUCGGAACGUGCCCAGUCGUGGGGGAUAACGUAGCGAAAGCUACGCUAAUACCGCAUACGAUCUAAGGAUGAAAGCGGGGGAUUCGCAAGAACCUCGCGCGAUUGGAGCGGCUGAUAUCAGAUUAGGUUGUUGGUGNGGUAAAGCUUACCAAGCCGACGAUCUGUAGCUGGUUUGAGAGAACGACCAGCCACACUGGGACUGAGACACGGCCCAGACUCCUACGGAGGCAGCAUGGGGAAUUUUGGACAAUGGGCGCAAGCCUGAUCCAGCAAUGCCGCGUGCAGGAUGAAGGCCUCGGGUU
rnacentral:rRNA from 1 species